rnacentral:rRNA from 1 species
CCUACGGGUGGCUGCAGUGGGGAAUAUUGGGCAAUGGGCGCAAGCCUGACCCAGCAACGCCGCGUGAAGGAAGAAGGCUUUCGGGUUGUAAACUUCUUUUCUGAGGGACGAAGAAAGUGAUGGUACCUCAGGAAUAAGACACGGCUAACUAAGUGCCAGCAGCCGCGGUAAUACGUAGGUGGCAAGCGUUAUACGGAUUUAUGGGGUGUAGAGGGCGUGUAGGCGGGGAAGCAAGUCAGAUGUGAAAACUCAGGGCUCAACCCUGAGCCUGCAUUUGAAACUGUUUUUCUAGAGUGCUGGAGAGGCGAGCGGAAUUCCGUGUGUAGCGGUGAAAUGCGUAGAUAUACGGAGGAACACCAGUGGCGAAGGCGGAUUGCUGGACAGUAACUGACGCUGAGGCGCGAAAGCGUGGGGAGCAAACAGGAUUAGAUACCCGUGUAGUC